rnacentral:lncRNA from 1 species
AUGUAUUCAACCAAGGUAUUGUCUGUUUUUCUUCGAAAUUUUUAUUCAAACGUGUACAUUUGGUGUGUUCUGCUUCUUUUGAAACUUAAAAAUUUAUGAUAUUUACAAUACACCAACCUUUUCUUUACAAGUAAAUCAUGAUUCAUAUAAUAUACAUUAAAGUGUAAAUUACAAAAAAAGUACAAACAUCUAAUAGUUUUAAUUUUCAAAAAGCAACAAAAGCAUUGUAAGAAUCAUUGGAUGUCAGUGAUACUUGAUUCACCGGUAGAAUAUGCAUUAUAUAUAAUUCAAUAAAAAUAAUAAACAUCAAAUAAUCUUACUAUUUGUUAAGUACAAAAAUAAAGCAUAAAGUAAUACUACUAACACAAACAAGAAAGAUAUCUCUGUACAGUUUUGUGCCAGAAAAAAAUAGCAGAAAAUAUAUUUCAAAAACUUUUUGUUUAUAAGCACACCAGUAGGUUUGAUUAACAUUUUUGCAGGGUGCCGAAUCUUUAUGCACAAUUCAGUAAGCUUUGCCAAAACUCGACUUCUGCAUCUAAUAUUUAAUACAUAAAGCUAAAACGUUCAUAUAUUUUGUCACUUUUACAUACUUUACCCAAAUAGAAUACUGCAUUAUACUGAUAAUGCAAGUAAAAGAUAUACUGUGACAAUGUGUACAAAUAUUUCUCAAUUUAAUUCUUUAUCAUAUAUAAUGAAAAAAAAUCGAUUCAAUUAGUUCAUAUGGGGAACAAACAACCAUAUGAACAGAGGCAAUUAAUAUCAGAUAAGAACGCUCAAUGCAUUCUUGAAAUACUAUGUGAAAAAAAGGACAGGAAAGCACAAGAAAAACACACAUUAUAGUAUGUACAAAAGCCUCAUCAAAGUGCAUUUUGUACAUGAAAUUUGAUUACCCAAACGCGCAUUUCGUCUUCAUAUGACUUAUCAGUGACACAACAAAAACAAAAUCAUGGCCAAUUUAAAUAUGAAGUUGAAAAGCAUUUAUUACCAAAAAUUGAAAAAAAUGAUGUACUUACAAACACCAUAGAAAAACAUAUUUGUAAACCACAACACUAUUUAAUGAAUACAAAUUAGAAAUAUGUGAUUUGUCGACUGUAGAUUCAUACGACCAUAGAGGUUCAAGCCUGAACAAUUUGGGCAACAUGAACACAAUAAUCAAAUUGAUACAGGUCUGAAUUCGGAUUGUAAUUAAAUAUUUGACACCUUAUAGGUUUCUGACACAGAAAUACUGUAGUCAGAAAACUUAAAAUAGGUUAAAUGAUUUGAAUAUUUAUUGAUUUAUUGUGGUUGUGCAAUACACUGUGCUGUUACGCAAUACUUAGUAAAUUUGAUUUCAGACAAUAAACUUAGAUUUAGCGAAAUAAAUUGUAACCCCUAAAAAAUAGCAAUUGAAGAAAUUUUCUUUUUGUAAAAUACGGUACAAUUAAAGAGAAAUCGGGUUGGGAUAUUACCCCGAAAAUUAAUCACAACCUUCUAGUUGUGAUGUUGGAACUUGUACAAUUUCAGAGCAAUCAACUUAUACGGGCCCUCUAAGUCCUAGCCAGUUGGGACCAUUACUCCCAAAAUCAAUUCCAACCUUUCGUUUGUGUCAUUAAAUCAAGUGUUUCUAUUUCAUAGCAUUCUAUUCGCUUAUGCCUAUCUUACUGUCUGAAACCAAAUUUCCUCGGACAAUGACGACGACGAUGACAACUUGAUAGUUGGUAAACGAACUCAAAUUAUGUGCGGUCAAAUAACAAGAGGCUCUCAAGAGCCUGAAUCGCUCACCUUAAUUCUUUUGGUUAAAUCUCUCAUCAAUGAUUAUUUCGGCUUUUCAAUUUAUUUAAAUGUUUUUUGGAUCGUCCUAUUUUCUUCAAAAGCCAAAAAAAAUAAUCAUUUUCUCCUAUGUUCUAUUUUAGCCAUAGGAGCUAUGUUUCUUGACAUACAAGGAAAUAACAUAUAAAAUU